rnacentral:lncRNA from 1 species
CAUCCCUGAACCUCCUAUAGGUAUAGGUAAUUGAUAUAGUCCUCCACUUUCCUUCCCAAUCAUCAGAACUUCUUUAGUGUUGAUAUCCUUGACUAACAGCCUCUGUGGAUCAAAUUCCAUAGUCACUUGAUUGUCAGCACAGAAUCUCUUUACUGAAAUUAGAUUCUUUGAUGCAGAAGGAGGUACACAUAAAAUCCGGUUCAAAAAAAACUUUCUUUCAUUGACAGAAAUAAAAGAAUUACCAGAGUGAACAAUCCUCAUAGGAUGUCCAUCGGCAGUGUUGAUGGAAUUCUCACAAUCCAGCCCAUCUUGAAUAUCUGUCUUUCUGUCUGUAAUGUGGUUUGUUGAGCCAGAAUCAGCAAACCAAGCCCUUGCAUUUGACACCAUAUUCACUGAAUUCUCAGUGUUCUCU